rnacentral:ncRNA from 2 species
UUCGUCCACUAGGGGUGCUGUUUGCUGAGAGGGCAUGGUCCCGACCCUUGGACCUGAUCUGGUUAAUACCAGCGUAGGAAAGUGGUAACUUAAACGU